rnacentral:rRNA from 1 species
AGCUUUUUGGUUUUUUUUAAAAAGUAUUUUCUGCUCAGUGUUUAUUAAAUAGCCGCAGUAAUUUGACUGUGCAAAGGUAGCAUAAUAAUUUGUUUCAUAAUUGGGGACUAGAAUGAAUGGAAUUAUGAAAAUUUUUCUUUCUUUAAAUUUUUAUUUUAAAUUGUAGUUAAUGUGAAGAUACAUUAUUUUUUAAAAAAGACAAGAAGACCCUUUUGAGUUUUAUUUUUUUUUUUUUUUAUAAAAAAUAAUAAUUUAGUUGGGGCGAUUAAAGAAGAUUUAAUUUAAAUCUUCUUUUUUUUAUAAUGAACCAAAAGUUUUGGAUUUUAGAAUAAGUUACCAAAGGGAUAACAGCAUAAUUUUUUUUGAGAGUUCUUAUUAAAAAAAAAGAUUAUGACCUCGAUGUUGACUUAUAAUUUCCUAUUGGUGCAGUAGCUAAUAUAGGUAGGUCUGUUCAACCUUUAAUAUUUU